GUCUGGGUGGCUCAGUCAGUUGAGCGCCCGACUUUGGAUCAGGUCAUGAUCUCACAGUUCGUGGGUUCAAGUCCCAUGUCAGGCU
rnacentral:tRNA from 1 species